rnacentral:tRNA from 1 species
GCCCUUGUAGCUCAGUUGAAUAGAGCAAUCGCCUCCUAAGCGAUAGGUCGUGGGUUUGAGUCCCACCUUGGGUGCCA